GGGCGUUUAGCUCAGUUGGAAGAGCGCUGCCCUUACAAGGCAGAGGUCGGCGGUUCGAGCCCGUCAACGCCCACCA
rnacentral:tRNA from 1 species